rnacentral:rRNA from 1 species
CCCUUAGAUGUUCUGGGCCGCACGCGCGCUACACUGAGCCCUUCAUCGAGUUUACAACCUUGGCCGGUAGGUCUGGGUAAUCUUCUCAAAGGGGCUCGUGCUGGGGAUAGAUUAUUGUAAUUUUUAAUCUUCAACGAGGAAUUCCUGGUAAACGCAAGUCAACAGCUUGCAUUGAUUACGUCCCUGCCCUUUGUACACACCGCCCGUCGCUACUACCGAUUGAAUGGCUUAGUGAGCCCGAGGGACUGUUGCACCUAGAGGGUUUUCUCUCCAGGAGCAGCCGGGAACUCGGUCAAACUUGAUCAUUUAGAGGAAGUAAAAGUCGUAACA